ACGGGGUGCAGCAGGCGCGAAACCUUUGCAAUGUGCGCAAGCACGACAAGGUUAAUCCGAGUGUUUCCUGCUUAAGGAAUCUUUUGCUAGUCCUAAAAACACUAGUGAAUAAGGGGUGGGCAAGUUCUGGUGUCAGCCGCCGCGGUAAAACCAGCACCUCAAGUGGUCAGGAGGAUUAUUGGGCCUAAAGCAUCCGUAGCUUGCUCUGUAAGUCUCCGGUUAAAUCCAUUAGCUCAACUAAUGGCCUGCCGGAAAUACUGCAGAACUAGGAAGUGGGAGAGGUAGACGGUACUCGGUAGGAAGGGGUAAAAUCCUUUGAUCUAUUGAUGACCACCUGUGGCGAAGGCGGUCUACCAGAACACGUUCGACAGUGAGGGAUGAAAGCUGGGGGAGCAAACCGGAUUAGAUACCCGGGUAGUCCCAGCCGUAAACGAUGCAGACUCGAUGAUGCACUGGCUUGUGGCCAGUGCAGUGUCGCAGGGAAGCCGUUAAGUUUGCCGCCUGGAAGUACGUACG
rnacentral:rRNA from 1 species